rnacentral:antisense_RNA from 1 species
UGUUAUGGCGGCUGUGCGUGGGACGCCUUUAGGGCGUGCCGGUCUCCUUGACUCCCGGUUUCCAACCUGCGUACAGCUGCCACCCAU